GUUAUGAUUGAGCAAAAUCAUCCAUAUAAUAUAACCCUCUCUCUUAGUACCAAGGUAAAAAAUCCUCUUCAUGAGAACAUCUUAAAACAAACAAAAU